GCUGUCUGAAGUUGCAGUCUGAGACCUAUAACGAAAUUAGUUAAAACUUUCAACAACGGAUCUCUUGGUUCCGGCAUCGAUGAAGAACGCAGCGAAAUGCGAUAACUAAUGUGAAUUGCAGAAUUCAGUGAAUCAUCGAGUCUUUGAACGCACAUUGCGCCCUCUGGUAUUCCGGAGGGCAUGCCUGUCCGAGCGUCAUUGCUGCCCUCAAGCCCGGCUUGUGUGUUGGGCCCCGUCCCCCCCGCCGGGGGGACGGGCCCGAAAGGCAGCGGCGGCACCGCGUCCGGUCCUCGAGCGUAUGGGGCUUCGUCACCCGCUCUAGUAGGCCCGGCCGGCGCCAGCCGACCCCCAACCUUUAAUUAUCUCAGGUUGACCUCGGAUCAGGUAGGGAUACCCGCUGAACUUAAGCAUAUCAAUAAGCGGAGGAAAAGAAACCAACCGGGAUUGCCCUAGUAACGGCGAGUGAAGCGGCAAGAGCUCAAAUUUGAAAGCUGGCCCCCUCGGGGUCCGCAUUGUAAUUUGCAGAGGAUGCUUCGGGAACGGCCCCCAUCUAAGUGCCCUGGAACGGGCCGUCAUAGAGGGUGAGAAUCCCGUCUGGGAUGGGGUGGCCGCGCCCGUGUGAAGCUCCUUCGACGAGUCGAGUUGUUUGGGAAUGCAGCUCUAAUUGGGUGGUAAAUUUCAUCUAAAGCUAAAUAUUGGCCGGAGACCGAUAGCGCACAAGUAGAGUGAUCGAAAGAUGAAAAGCACUUUGAAAAGAGAGUUAAACAGCACGUGAAAUUGUUGAAAGGGAAGCGCUUGCGACCAGACUCGCCCGCGGGGUUCAGCCGGCACUCGUGCCGGUGUACUUCCCCGCGGGCGGGCCAGCGUCGGUUUGGGCGGCCGGUCAAAGGCCUCUGGA
rnacentral:rRNA from 1 species